AUGUCGAAGUACGGAACCAUCCCCAUCUCCUCCUCCUCCUCCGAUGCCCCGCCUCCCGGCUCCUCUCCGCUCGACUUCAUCUCCCGGGCCAAGGCCCGCGGCGCGUCGGCACUCGCGACGCGCCAACCCUGGCGUGAGCUGGCCGACCCAAAGGCCCUCGCUGUGCCCCGGGGGCUAGGGGACGCCUACCUCCGCGCCCGCGCCAACCUCGCGCAUUUCUCCAUGAACUACGCCAUCGUGGUCCUCGGCGUCGUCUUCCUCUCCCUGCUCUGGCACCCCUUUUCCCUCAUCGUCUUCCUCGCCUGCAUGGUCGCCUGGGUCUUCCUCUACUUCCUCCGCGACGUCCCGCUCGCUCUCUUCGGCCACACCAUCGGUGACGGCGUCGUGCUCGCCGUCCUCUCGGCCCUCACGCUCAUCCUGCUCCUGCUCACCGGAGCCACCGGCAACAUCCUCACCUCGCUGCUCGUCGGGCUGGUGCUCGUCCUGCUGCACGCCUUGCUGCAUCGCCCCGCGGACAGCAUCGACGAGGAGGCCGGACGGUGGUACACACCCGUCACACCGCCGCAGCCGUACUAG
rnacentral:rRNA from 1 species